UGUAGUAUUUUGACUAUACAAAGGUAUUGUAAUAAGACUUUAAUUGAGUGCUAAAAGAAUGGAGUUUCAAAAAAAGUCUAUCUUGAAUUCAAAAAUUGAAUUUAUUUUUAUUUGUGAAGAAACAAUAAUUAAAAUUAAGGACAAGAAGACCCUAAGAAUUUUUAAUUUUGUAUAUAUAUAUAUUUAUAUAUACAAAAUUUUAAUUGGGGCGAUUAAAAAAUAUAAUUAACUUUUAAUUUAAAAAAAUGAUCCAUUAUUAGUGAUUUAAUGUAAAAAAUACUCUAGGGAUAACAGCGUAAUAAUUUUAGAUAGAUCUUAUAGAAAAAAUAGUUUGCGACCUCGAUGUU
rnacentral:rRNA from 1 species